CAUGUUAACGCCAAACCUAUUGUGAAAUAGGGACGGAAAGUUUGGGGUCUCAAUCAAGAGAUUGCCCGGCUGCCUUGA
rnacentral:ncRNA from 1 species